UAUUCUCUGCUCUGCUGCUUUCAUUAACAGGAACAAGGACAACAUUACAUGCGAGUGAGAACAACAACUGCAGUGGAUUCCACAGUAACAGCUUUUAUUGAAGGACAAGAAGCCUGAGCAUCUUGGGUUAUGAGAUUCAGGAUACGUCCUUGGUAUUGUUAAUGAAAGCAGCAGAGCAGAGAAUAGAAGCAAUAAGAGCGAAAAAACCAAAACCGAUCAUUAAAGAAACCCAUGCCACCAUCAAAUCCACUAAGCACUGCACACUUAACCCCAUAAACAAUUCCAUCUUCUUCUUCUUCUACCCGGGGAACAAGAAGCGAGAAAUUUGCAGUGGGUCUUUGGAAUUUUAGGUCGAUGAAUAAAACCCGGAAGCGAGAGAGGGCUGAAACACAUGUUUUAGGGAUUUGCAAAGGGUUUUGGGCAGAUAGUGAUGGAAAUCGUUGGCAGCUGUGCGUUUGUGGCCCUUGCCCAUUGGGGCUUG
rnacentral:misc_RNA from 1 species